GGGUUUCGUAGGUGACCUGCGGAAGGAUCAUUACCGAGUUUUGGGGGGCUCUGCCCUCCUCUCUCACACCCUAUGUGUACCUACCUCUGUUGCUUUGGCGGGCCGCGGUCUCAUCCGCGGCCGGCCCCCUAACCGGGGCUGGCCAGCGCCCGCCAGAGGACCAUCAAACUCCAGUCAGUAAACGUAGCUGUCUGAUAAAUUUUUUAAUAAACUAAAACUUUCAACAACGGAUCUCUUGGUUCUGGCAUCGAUGAAGAACGCAGCGAAAUGCGAUAAGUAAUGUGAAUUGCAGAAUUCAGUGAAUCAUCGAAUCUUUGAACGCACAUUGCGCCCCUUGGUAUUCCGAGGGGCAUGCCUGUUCGAGCGUCAUUUCACCACUCAAGCUCUGCUUGGUAUUGGGCUCCGUCCUCUCCCGGACGCGCCUCAAAGACCUCGGCGGUGGCGUCUUGCCUCAAGCGUAGUAGAAAACACCUCGCUUUGGAGGACGGGACGUUCGCCCGCCGGACGAACCUUCUGAAUUUUUUCCUAAGGUUGACCUCGGAUCAGGUAGGGAUACCCGCUGAACUUAAGCAUAUCAAUAAGCGGAGGAAAAGAAACCAACUGGGAUUGCCUUAGUAACGGCGAGUGAAGCGGCAAUAGCUCAAAUUUGAAAGCUGGCUCCUUCGGAGUCCGCGUUGUAAUUUGUAGAGGAUGCUUCGGCGAGGGCUCCCGCCUAAGUCCCCUGGAACGGGGCGUCAUAGAGGGUGAGAAUCCCGUAUGCGGUGGGUUGCCUUAGCCAUGUGAAGCUCCUUCGACGAGUCGAGUUGUUUGGGAAUGCAGCUCUAAAUGGGAGGUAAAUUUCUUCUAAAGCUAAAUACCGGCCAGAGACCGAUAGCGCACAAGUAGAGUGAUCGAAAGAUGAAAAGCACUUUGGAAAGAGAGUUAAAAAGUACGUGAAAUUGUUGAAAGGGAAGCGCUUGCAGCCAGACUUGUCCGCAGUUGCUCAACCGGUCUCCUGACCGGUGUACUCUUCUGCGGCCAGGCCAGCAUCAGUUCGGGCGGUCGGAUAAAGGUUCUGGGAAUGUGGCUCCUCUCGGGGAGUGUUAUAGCCCAGUUCGCAAUGCGGCCAGCCUGGACUGAGGAUCUCGCUCGGCUAGGAUGC
rnacentral:rRNA from 1 species